rnacentral:rRNA from 1 species
GCGUAUAACGCAUUUAUAUACAACUUUCAGCAACGGAUCUCUUGGCUCUCGCAUCGAUGAAGAACGCAGCGAAAUGCGAUAAGUAAUGUGAAUUGCAGAAUUCAGUGAAUCAUCGAAUCUUUGAACGCACCUUGCGCUCCCUGGUAUUCCGGGGAGCAUGCCUGUUUGAGUGUCAUGGUAUUCUCAACCUUCAUAACUUUUGUUAUCGAAGGCUUGGACUUGGAGGUUGUGCUGGCUUCUAGUUAAGUCGGCUCCUCUUAAAUGUAUUAGCGUGAGUGUAACGGAUCGCUUCGGUGUGAUAAUUAUCUGCGCCGUGGUCGUGAAGUAACAUAAGCUUGCGCUUCUAACCGUCCUUCAGUUGGACAAUUACUUUGACAUCUGACCUCAAAUCAGGUAGGACUACCCGCUGAACUUAAGCAUAUCAAUAAGCGGAGGAAAAGAAACUAACAAGGAUUCCCCUAGUAACUGCGAGUGAAGCGGGAAAAGCUCAAAUUUAAAAUCUGGCAGUCUUUGGCUGUCCGAGUUGUAAUCUGGAGAAGCGUCUUCCGCGC